rnacentral:lncRNA from 13 species
UAGUUUUAAUGAUAUGCCUGUUUUUAUAUAUAUAUUGAAAAUGGUUCCCUUAAUUACACUACCGUUGUGAUGACUUGUUGUUGAAUUACUCUUUUUUUUCCUACCUGGGCAAUCUAAUCAAGUUAACAGUGUAAUGGAGAAAAUGACCUUGGAAUAGUAAUUGAUGCCGUCAGACAGUCUUGAUGAUAAUAGUGUAAUUAAUGAGAGUAGUUGACCUAGGAAUGAUUUGAUAACACAGACAUAAUAAUAACUGAAUGACAACCUCAAGAGUUCAUCAUCAAGAGUUCCUCCCUCCUCCGAUCUUUGAGAAUAACUUGAUGACAAGGCUUCUACCAUAAAUGGGGAUUUAAAAAUAUAGAUUUUGAGAGCAUCUCUUCAGAAACAGGGGGACCUUUGAAUUUGGAUCGACAUACUGUUAAAAGCUACAUGGACUGGAUUUGGAUUCAUUUUACUCAAUGGAACUUCGGAAUAACGCAGUUUUGAAUUGCAAGUCUUCUCAGACUUGUUAAUUUCAUCAAAAUAUCUGCAUUCGGCUAUACAUCGGCUACACAUUCUUGAAAUAAUAACUACAACGAACUUAUUUUAAUCAAGCUUGUGGAAUUGUUGAUUGUCCCUCGAAAGCGUUUGAGUUUGGAACACGGAAGAUACGCUUCAAUGGAAUUGUUAACUUUUUCAAGAAAUCCCAGAUGGAGGUUUCCCGGUAUCAGGAGGGAAUAACCAGGAAGUCCGGAGUCCUCCAACCAGGAUUUCUGGGAAACCAGGGAAUUUAUUGAAAGUUCCAGGAAUUUUGCAACCCUAAAAGUUCGUC